CGCUAAGAAGCUAAAUAGGUACAGCAUUAGCCUUUUAAGCUAAAAAUUGGUGGCUCCCAAUCACCCUUAGCGA
rnacentral:tRNA from 1 species